UAAGGAAUAUUGGUCAAUGGACGCAAGUCUGAACCAGCCAUGCCGCGUGAAGGAUGAAGGUCCUCUGGAUUGUAAACUUCUUUUAUCUGGGACGAAAACGGGAUUUUUAUCUCAAUUGACGGUACCAGAGGAAUAAGCACCGGCUAACUCCGUGCCAGCAGCCGCGGUAAUACGGAGGGUGCGAGCUUUAUCCGGAUGUACUGGGGUUAAAGGGUGCGUAGGUGGGCUUAUAAGUCAGUGGUGAAAUCUCCGAGCUUAACUUGGAAACUGCCGUUGAUACUAUAGGGCUUGAAUUAUCGGGAGGUAAGCGGAAUAUGUCAUGUAGCGGUGAAAUGCUUAGAUAUGACAUAGAACACCAAUUGCGAAGGCAGCUUACUACAUAUAAAUUGACGCUGUGGCACGAAAGCGUGGGG
rnacentral:rRNA from 1 species